UUAGACCAAAUACACACUUAAAAAACAAGGGUUUUCACUCAUAUUUCGCUCUCUCUCCACUCACACAUGAAAUUAGCUCUCACAUUUCUCACACACGAAGAAAGCCCUCACAUUUCUCCCUUUUACUUCUCUUUCCCAAUGUUUCUCUUUUUUUUUUUUUUUUUUUUUUUUUUGGUGUGUGUGUGUGUUUCAUUCCAUUCAAGCUUGAUGGAAGCACAGCCAAGUAAAGAUUGAACCAGAGACAUGGUUUCACCGAUUGAGUCGUUGGAAUUUGCUUGAUGUUAGUGAGAGGAGCCUUUGCGACUGGAUCGAUGGUGUUUUCGGUGGCGACCCAUGACUCUAUAUGUUAGGGUAUUGAAGGCUUGCACUUGCGGAUCCUUUUUUAGCUUUUCUUCUUACAAAAAAUAGAGUUUGCGGUUGGGCCCUCUCUUCAAAUGCUCUCAACAUCAUCUAUCGGUUGUUUAGGUAUCCUUUUUCAAUUCAUUGUUUGAUUUUUUUUUUUUUUUUUUUCCAUUUUGCUUUCACUCUGUUGUUCCACUGAUUUCCUUUCUCUUUACUCUUUUCUUUUUAGGUCUCUUUUCAUAUUUUUAUGGAAGUAUAUCAUAAAAAAGUUCAUUAAAAUUUAGACAUCAGAGAAACAUAGCCGUUGAUUUCACAUUCUCACUUUUUAAAGAAACCCACAUAUUUGAGGGUUUGAAAGUGAACACCUUUGGCAUACUCUUCUCUUUUCUAAAUUUGCAAUUUCCUGUCCUCCUUUGUGUCCUGUGUCUAAUUUCGUUCUAUUUGUAUCAUUGUGGAAUUCUUGUUUCAUGUUCACAUUUUUUAUUGGUAUUUUGAAUAAUGAAUAGUAGAACUUGAUUAAGAGUUGUCUUUUAUUAAAGUACUAAAAUGAAUUGUUGAGAAAGUUUAGCACUAUCCUCUACUGAAAUGUCCACUAAUAUUGCUUAUGAAUGAACUAAAUUCAAUGUCAUUUAAAUCCCAAGUUCUCACGGUAAAGUUGUAUUCCUGCCCUAUAGCAACUAUAGCCUAAUAGCUGGCUAAAAUUGGUAGUAAUAGUCAAUAGUAUUUUUAUUGUUAAUCACUUUUUCAUAGUUAUGUUCUUUCCUUCUAACAAUAAUAGUAGUAAAAUUUUGAUUAAUUAGUCUAUUAGUGUAACCAGUUCUAAUCAUAUUUAUGUUGCCAUGAGUUUUCUUCCUUAUACAUGUCACGUAUUUCUUUGGUUUAAAGCAGAGCAAGAUAAAGAAAAAAGAAAAGAAAAAGAGAAGUCAUUAUUAGAAUCAUUUCACACAUAAGAAAACUUUUGAAUAUGCAUUGGACAAAGGAUGAGAGUCUCAUGUUAGAAGUUCACUUUGUCGUCAAUCUCAUGAACUUGAUAAGACUUGGAUGAAAAAAAUAAAUUUGACAUUGAAUCUCUGUAAAGUUGGGCAAAAAUAAUUUGGUUGCAAGUUACCAAGAUCUAUGGGUACUAUAAGUCAAUUGUUGUCACUGAACCUAGUAGUUUACUUUUGCUAUUUCGUCCAUUUCAAUGUUCCUUGCCCGUCAAAUUAAAACGCUAAGAAAGAAAACAGUUUUGGAAUGUUUUGAUUUAUGGAGCUUCUAAGCUAAAAGCAUUGUCAUAUUCGUUUAUAUGCUGGUGCUUUGAGUUGGUUGUGUACUGUGAGUUUGCUUGUCUGUUAAUAAUCAUCUCCAAAAUUUUUUAGUGGAUAUGGUUGUUUUUAUUUAUUUAGUUAUAUUGUUUGAUGCUUAUUUAUUGUUGUAGAUUUUUUAGACUUGGUCUCUACAAUCCAUGAAGGCUAUAUUAUUUAAACUUUGGAAUUGAGGAAGAUAAGGUUUUGGAUUUAAUUUGAACUUGAUCUUUGCUUAUGUGUGUGUAGAAAGGAGAAUGCAAUAAAAGUGUGGAUAAAAAGUUUGCUAUUUUCUUUUUGUCAUUUUACAUGUUUUAGAUACAUCAAUGGUUGCUUUAUUGCAAGAUCAUGAUCUUCAACCUUUUUGGCUUCAAUUUUCCUUAAUAUACAUUUUCCCAUUUGGGUCUAUUUCUCGCUUUCCCAUACAAGUGUUUUUUUUAUAUCAUCAAUAUUCAAAUCUAAAUUUAUAUUCUUUGUUCUUCAAUUUCCAUUAGUACCCAUUUUCAUUCUCUAUUGGUGUCCAUUUUGCUCAUCCAACAUGUAGGUUUAGAAAUUGGUUGAAAUCGUGAGCUGCAUAUUUUUUUUUUCCAUAUUGGUUGAAAGUUUGGAAGGUCAUCUUGGUUACUUAUUGUGAUAUAUAGUAUGUGCAUAUCUUGGAUUUCAUAUCGGCUGAACGUGGUUCUAUGAGUUGUGUGUGUGGGGGGGAGUUGGAUUUGGUGUUAAUCGUUCAAAAUUAUCUCUUGUCUCAACGAGAAAGUAGGUAUACAAUGCUUGAAAAUGAAUAUUUGAAGAUGAAGGAUGAAAUGAAAGAAAUGAAAUCAUUGAUAUCAAGUUUUUUAAAAAAAAAAAAAAAAAAUAGGUAAACGUAGCUUCUUUAAUAAGUUUUAUUCGUAAUAUUUAUGUUUUUACUGUACAAAUAACUUUUAAUUGCAUAUUGUUAUAAGCUGAACCAAGUGAGGAAUUUUCUAAUGCCACAAAAAAAUUUACCUAAGCCAAUAAACAUUCCUUCAACUUGUCCUAUAUCUUCUUCAUCGGUAAAUCUAUUUUGUAUGUGAUGAAUAAUACUAUAGAUUUCAUUAUCAUCAAAUUCUCACAUCUUAAUUUUUUUUUCUCAUCAAUAAUAUUAAUAAUAAUACUAAACUCAAGCGCAAGUUAUUAGAUUGGCUUGGCUCGGGAGUGAUAGUAGCCAAAGAACGGUGGUCUUCUAAUGAUCCUACUACUCUUGUUCAUCACAUUCUUAUUGGAUCACAUGUAGUUAGAUUCUAGGUUGAUGUAUCAAAGAAACCCAAUGUAUAUUUGUGGAGGCCCACAUCAGAAAUAACCUAUAUUGAAGAAGCUCUAGAAAGUAUGAUUGCAUGGCCAUCUGACAAAGUGACUGUUAUCGGUGAUUGAUAUGCAAGAGAAUUAUAGAUGAUAACUUACUUAACUCCAUGACGAUGUAAUUAUCUUGGAUAAUUGAUUAAUUUUAUAUUUUGUGAACUAACUUGUUAGAAAUGAAAUUCAGCUAAACAUUGUAUCUUGUAA